rnacentral:rRNA from 1 species
ACAUACGACCAUAGACUGAGGAGAACUAGGCAUCCCGUCCGCUCUGCCAUCUAUAAGCCUCAGAUCGGCAGAUCAGUAGUUAAGUGGGUGACCAUUAGCGAAUCCCUGCUGUUGUAUGUU